rnacentral:rRNA from 1 species
GUGCAGCAGUCGCGAAUCUUUGCAAUGCCCGAAAGGGUGACAAUGCGACGCCGCGUGAGCGAUGAAGGCCUUCGGGUUGUAAAGCUCUGUCAGCUCGGAUGAAAGCAGGGAAGCCAAUACCUUUCUGUCUGACGGUACGAGCAGAGGAAGCUACGGCUAACUCCGUGCCAGCAGCCGCGGUAAUACGGAGGUGGCAAGCGUUGUUCGGAUUUACUGGGUGUAAAGGUCAUGUAGGCGUCUUACUAAGUCGGAUGUGAAAUCCCCUGGCUCAACCAGGGAACUGCAUUCGAUACUGGUUAGAUUGAGUACGGGAGAGGAAAGCGGAAUUCCGGAAGUAAGGGUGAAAUCUGUAGAUAUCCGGAAGAACACCAUUAGCGAAGGCGGCUUUCUGGCCCGAUACUGACGCUGGAAUGAGAAAGCUAGGGUAGCGAAACAGGAUUAGAUACCCCGUG